UCCUGUUUUGCCUACCAAAAUGGUAGGAAUGAUGAGCAAAUCAGUCAGCAAGCAUUUAUUAAACACCUAUUAAUUGCCAUGUACUGUGUUAGGUGCUAGGGUUACAAAUUCAAAGACUAAAACAAUCCCUACUAUCUUUCUUUAAUCUCUUUGGAGUGGGGUCAUAUGGCAUUCACAUUUUUAUUAGCUUUUGAGGAACAGUUACAAAUUGUUUUCCAGGGACAGCUCUACCAACACUGCAUCAGUAUGCCUGUUUUCCCACAGCCCGUCUAACAUUUGCCAUUUUCUUUUUUUGGCAGCUUUGUCAAUUUUAAUGAGUGUGAAGGGGAACCUCAGAACUGCUUUAUUUUACAUUUUCCUAAGUAUUAAUGGUUUGGAACACUUUUUCACAUAGCUGUGUGCAACUUGGGUUAUGUCUUCCCUUGAGAACUACCUGUUCAUAUCCUUAGACCAUUUAUCUAUCAGCUUCUCCAUUAUUGAAUACUCUCAUCUUUAGUCAUCUUUGCCAAUUUGGAAGGUAUGAGGAGAACUUCAGGUUUAUUUUCAUUUGUGUGUCUUGUUUUUAGAAUUAUUGUUGUCAUAUUGUAAUUUGGAACUUUCUCUCAUAUGGCAGUCAAUAGUGUGUAAUUCAUCCUUUGACUGCUUAUGUAUUACAGAAUGGCUUUUGGUGUUUAUAUACUUACAUAUGUACAUAUACAUAAGCAUAUAAAUAUAUAAUACAUGAUAAUUGUUUGCAUAGAUGUUAAUCGUUUACAUAUCUUGGAUGCCAAACCUAUAUCAGAGAAAUCUGAUAAAAAAAUUUUAACCAUUUAACCACUUACUUUUGUAUUCUACAUUAAUUAUUUCUUUACAGACACCUUUGAAUUUUCAUGUAAUUAAAGUUAGGUAUUUUAUCUUCUGUAAUUGCCUCUAUCUCUUGUUUGGUUAUGAAUACAAAUCCUGUCCUAUCACUUCUAUCUUUUCAUUAUGAAUACAUCUCCUAUUCUACUUCCCUUGUAAUUUUUAUGGUAUGAUUUUUAAUAUGAAAGUCAUAUAACCAUUUAGAGUAUGUUGUAGAAUAACUGUAAGGUGUUGAUCUAAGCCUAAUUUCUGCAAGACUGCUUUCCAGUUUUUCUGACAGUGUUUAUUAAAUAGAGAAUACUUUGCUAAGUAAUUUGUGUUUUGCAGUUGAUUGAAUUGUAAUGUUAAAUAAACCAGGUUCUUGAAUUCCA